CCUACGGGAGGCAGCAGUAGGGAAUAUUGCUCAAUGGGGGAAACCCUGAAGCAGCAACGCCGCGUGGAGGAUGAAGGUUUUCGGAUUGUAAACUCCUUUUGUUAGAGAAGAUAAUGACGGUAUCUAACGAAUAAGCACCGGCUAACUCCGUGCCAGCAGCCGCGGUAAUACGGAGGGUGCAAGCGUUACUCGGAUUCACUGGGCGUAAAGAGCGCGUAGGCGGGAUAGAAAGUCCGUUGUGAAAUCCUAGGGCUUAACCAUAGAACUGCAUUUGAAACUGUUAUGCUAGAGUAUGGGAGAGGAAGGUGGAAUUCUUGGUGUAGGGGUAAAAUCCGUAGAGAUAAAGAGGAAUACUCGUGGCGAAGGCGACCUGCUAGAACAUAACUGACGCUGAUGCGCGAAAGCGUGGGGAGCAAACAGGAUUAGAUACCCUUGUAGUC
rnacentral:rRNA from 1 species